rnacentral:rRNA from 1 species
UACGUAGGUGGCAAGCGUUUAUCCGGAAUUAUUGGGCGUAAAGCGCGCGCAGGUGGUUUCUUAAGUCUGAUGUGAAAGCCCACGGCUCAACCGUGGAGGGUCAUUGGAAACUGGGAGACUUGAGUGCAGAAGAGGAAAGUGGAAUUCCAUGUGUAGCGGUGAAAUGCGUAGAGAUAUGGAGGAACACCAGUGGCGAAGGCGACUUUCUGGUCUGUAACUGACACUGAGGCGCGA